AAUUCUUGCUUCAUGAUUUUGGGCACGUGCUCUUCAUAAGGGUGUGGACAUUCUUGUUGCCACACCAGGACGUCUUGUUGACAUGGUUGAAAGAUCAAAACUCUCCUUUGAGGCAAUCCAAUACUUUAUAGUGGAUGACAUUGAGAGGGUGCUGGAUAUGGGUUUUGAGCUUAUGAUAAAAAAAAUAGUUGGAUUGGGUAUGCCGCAAAAGUCAGUGAGACAAACUAUGCUUUUCACUGGAAAGCUCAGACCAGAAUUACAGAGGGUGGCUUCAGACCUCUUGUCAGAUCACAUAGUUAUCACUAUUGGACGAGUGAUGCCUGCUGAACAUAUUCAACAGAAAGUUGUGCUUGUGUUAGAUUGGAAGAAAAACACCAAUUUGCUACAUCUGUUAGCUAAGGAGGUGCAGCGACCUCUAACAGUUAUUUUUGUGAAGACAUCUUUGGAGGCUGACUCCUUGAGCUGCUGGCUAUGCAAUGAAGGGUUCCCUGCCACAUGUUUUCAUGGUGACAGAACACAACAGCCAGUGACGCGGCGUCAUGGUGCCUAGAUGUCCAAAACAUCGGUCACGUGAUCAACUAUGAUUUACCCAAGAGAAUAGAAGGCUAUAUCCAAAGGAUUAGAAGAACUAAAAAGCAUGGGUUAGCCACGUCCUUCUUCACUGAAUCUGAUCAACCUUUAGCGGAUCACUUGGCAAAGCUGAUGAAUAGAAUGAAGCAAGAUGUUCCGGACUGGCUGGUGUGGAGUAUGCUCAUAAGUUGCAACCUAGGAAGUCGGAUCCUUAUUUUGAUUAUCUCGUGGACAAGUUUAUAAACGCAAUCGCUGCUGAUGUGAAAGCAAACUCAUCAUGUGAUGACAUCGAUUAUAAGACAGUUCAUAAACGUCAAACCAGUGAGUAUGCAAGGAGUGCACUGCUGCACUAUAACUGCGAAGGAGAGAAAAAGGUCAAGUAUGAACUAGUUGAAGCAAUUACUAGCUACGGAAUCAUGGACUCAGACGGCUUGUACGUGCAUGUAAAUUUCACUGCAAUGAACACCGAAAAUUCAGAGGUGGACUUCUUUUUCGCAGAGUUGCGUUGGGUUAGUGAUAAGGAGGCUUCUGUACCCACAUGUGUAGUUACGUUGGAAGAGAAACAAAGAGUUGGUGGGUUUGAUGGCACAGAUUGUAGCAAUUACAAGGAUGAGAUGGACUUCCGUGUUGACAUUCAACACUGCUAUGCUUGUGGAGCAGAUCUGAUGCACCCUAAGGAUGGAAAACUGUAUGAAAUUGGCCAUAUAUCAAUGAGCAAGAGUUAUGGUUACGAUCUUAGGUAGUUUAGGUGGUUUAGCAGUAUACAUCUUUGUUAUCUUAGUGGUGUAUCGUUGACAUUGCUAAAAGCAAAUUCACAGACAUUCUUUUUUUCUCUUACAACUCAUAUAUAUGACUGGUUCGCGGAAAUGCAAAUCUGAUCUUAGGUGCAUAUGCUCUCUUUAUCUAAAAAUAAAUUUUGAAUUGUUAAAAAGUUCA